GAUGAACGCUGGCGGCGUGCCUAAUACAUGCAAGUCGAGCGAACAGACGAGGAGCUUGCUCCUCUGACGUUAGCGGCGGACGGGUGAGUAACACGUGUAUAACCUACCUAUCAGACUGGUAUAACUUCGGGAAACCGGAUCUUAUCCCGGAUAAUCUCUUGAACCGCAUGGUUCAAUGGUGAAAGACGGUUUUGCUGUCUCUUAUAGAUGGAUCCGCGCCGCAUUAGCUAGUUGGUAAGGUAACGGCUUACCAAGGCAAGGAUGCGUAGCCGACCUGAGGGGGUGAUCGGCCACACGGGAACUGAGACACGGUCCAGGCGCCUGAGGGAGGCAGCAGUAGGGAAUCGUCCGCAAUGGGCGAAAGCCUGACGGAGCAACGCCGCGUGAGUGAUGAAGGUCUUCGGAGCGUAAAACUCUGUUAUUAGGUAAGAACAAAUGUGUAAGGAACUAUGCACGGCUUGACGGUACCUAAUCAGAAAGCCACGGCUAACUACGUG
rnacentral:rRNA from 1 species